rnacentral:rRNA from 1 species
GAUAAACGCUGGCGGCGCACAUAAGACAUGCAAGUUGAACGGACUUAAUCGAAAUAUUUCUAUUUUGAAGCGGUUAGUGGCGGACUGGUGAGUAACGCGUAAGGAACCUGCCUAUUAGAGGGGAAUAACAGUGAGAAAUCAUUGCUAAUACCGCAUAUGCCAUAGAUAUCACAUGAUAACAGUGGGAAAGGAGCAAUCCGCUAAUAGAUGGCCUUGCGUCUGAUUAGAUAGUUGGUGGGGUAACGGCCUACCAAGUCGACGAUCAGUAGCCGGACUGAGAGGUUGAACGGCCACAUUGGGACUGAGAUACGGCCCAGACUCCUACGGGAGGCAGCAGUCGGGAAUAUUGCGCAAUGGAGGAAACUCUGACGCAGUGACGCCGCGUAUAGGAAGAAGGUUUUCGGAUUGGAAACUAUUGUCGUUAGGGAAGAGAAGGGACAGUACCUAAGGAGGAAGCUCCGGCUAACUACGUG